rnacentral:rRNA from 1 species
GUAUUAAAGGUCCUGCCUGCCCAGUGAUAAUUUUAACGGCCGCGGUAUUCUAACCGUGCAAAGGUAGCGUAAUCACUUGUCUUCUAAAUAAAGACUAGUAUGAACGGCUAAAUGAGGACAAACCUGUCUCUUGUAACUAAUCAGUGAAACUAAUCUUCCAGUACAAAAGCUGGAAUACUAACAUAAGACGAGAAGACCCUGUGGAGCUUUAAACCAACCACUACUACCAGAACCUAGUGUACGGUUUUAAGUUGGGGCGACUUUGGAACAAAACUAAACUUCCAAGAACUGAACCACACAUUCCGAUUAAGGCUGACAAGCCAGAACUCAUGACCCAGUAAUACUGAUCAACGAACCAAGUUACCCCAGGGAUAACAGCGCCAUCUUCUUCAAGAGUCCCUAUCGACAAGAAGGUUUACGACCUCGAUGUUGGAUCAGGACACCCAAAUGGUGCAGCCGCUAUUAAAGGUUCGUUUGUUCAACGAUUAAUAGUCCUACGUGAUCUGAGUU